CCUGAGAAACCCAAAAGAUCGAAUGGGGAGACUCAUCGUUCAGCUGCGCUGGCUUCCGUGCGGCACGCGAUUACGGGGACCUCGGUCUCGCGUGACGCUGUCGCUGCGGCAUGUCCGGCGCAGUCGGCGUGCACUUCUCCCCUAGUAGGACGUCGCGACCCGUUGGGUGUCGGAUCAAUGGGCGUUCGGUCGCCUGGCGCGCUCGCGAGAGCUCGUCAGACCGAUACGUUCGAACGUCCGACUGCCCGGCGGUAUCGAACGUUGAAAACUGGUACUGGGCCGCAUUCAGUGCGUUCCUGGCUCGUCGGCAGGCUCGUCUCGCUCGGAUUUACGGACCUAGCGCCGUUGCCGGGCGCUUGGCGCGGCCGUUAGUCGACGAUGUCCUCGGACUGGCUCUUACCGGUCGGCGACGCUACUGCUUUGGGUACUUUC
rnacentral:rRNA from 1 species